rnacentral:rRNA from 1 species
CCUUUUGUAUAAUGGGUCAGCGACUUAUAUUCUGUAGCAAGGUUAACCGAAUAGGGGAGCCGGAGGGAAACCGAGUCUUAAUUGGGCGUUAAGUUGCAGGGUAUAGACCCGAAACCCGGUGAUCUAGCCAUGGGCAGGUUGAAGGUUGGGUAACACUAACUGGAGGACCGAACCGACUAAUGUUGAAAAAUUAGCGGAUGACCUGUGGCUGGGGGUGAAAGGCCAAUCAAACCGGGAGAUAGCUGGUUCUCCCCGAAAGCUAUUUAGGUAGCGCCUCGUGAAUUCAUCUCCGGGGGUAGAGCACUGUUUCGGCUAGGGGGCCAUCCCGGCUUACCAACCCGAUGCAAACUGCGAAUACCGGAGAAUGUUAUCACGGGAGACACACGGCGGGUGCUAACGUCCGUCGUGAAGAGGGAAACAACCCAGACCGCCAGCUAAGGUCCCAAAGUCAUGGUUAAGUGGGAAACGAUGUGGGAAGGCCCAGACAGCCAGGAUGUUGGCUUAGAAGCAGCCAUCAUUUAAAGAAAGCGUAAUAGCUCACUGGUCGAGUCGGCCUGCGCGGAAGAUGUAACGGGGCUAAACCAUGCACCGAAGCUGCGGCAGCGACGCUGAUGCGUUGUUGGGUAGGGGAGCGUUCUGUAAGCCUGCGAAGGUGGCCUGUGAGGGUUGCUGGAGGUAUCAGAAGUGCGAAUGCUGACAUAAGUAACGAUAAAGCGGGUGAAAAGCCCGCUCGCCGGAAGACCAAGGGUUCCUGUCCAACGUUAAUCGGGGCAGGGUGAGUCGACCCCUAAGGCGAGGCCGAAAGGCGUAGUCGAUGGGAAACGGGUUAAUAUUCCCGUACUUGGUGUUACUGCGAAGGGGGGACGGAGAAGGCUAUGUUGGCCGGGCGACGGUUGUCCCGGUUUAAGCGUGUAGGUGUGUGUUCCAGGUAAAUCCGGUUCACUUUAACACUGAGGCGUGAUGACGAGGCACUACGGUGCUGAAGCAACAAAUGCCCUGCUUCCAGGAAAAGCCUCUAAGCAUCAGGUAACAUCAAAUCGUACCCCAAACCGACACAGGUGGUCAGGUAGAGAAUACCAAGGCGCUUGAGAGAACUCGGGUGAAGGAACUAGGCAAAAUGGUGCCGUAACUUCGGGAGAAGGCACGCUGACACGUAGGUGAAGUGAUUUACUCAUGGAGCUGAAGUCAGUCGAAGAUACCAGCUGGCUGCAACUGUUUAUUAAAAACACAGCACUGUGCAAACACGAAAGUGGACGUAUACGGUGUGACGCCUGCCCGGUGCCGGAAGGUUAAUUGAUGGGGUCAGCGCAAGCGAAGCUCCUGAUCGAAGCCCCGGUAAACGGCGGCCGUAACUAUAACGGUCCUAAGGUAGCGAAAUUCCUUGUCGGGUAAGUUCCGACCUGCACGAAUGGCGUAAUGAUGGCCAGGCUGUCUCCACCCGAGACUCAGUGAAAUUGAACUCGCUGUGAAGAUGCAGUGUACCCGCGGCAAGACGGAAAGACCCCGUGAACCUUUACUAUAGCUUGACACUGAACAUUGAGCCUUGAUGUGUAGGAUAGGUGGGAGGCUUUGAAGUGUGGACGCCAGUCUGCAUGGAGCCGGCCUUGAAAUACCACCCUUUAAUGUUUGAUGUUCUAACGUGGACCCGUGAUCCGGGUUGCGGACAGUGUCUGGUGGGUAGUUUGACUGGGGCGGUCUCCUCCUAAAGAGUAACGGAGGAGCACGAAGGUUGGCUAAUCCUGGUCGGACAUCAGGAGGUUAGUGCAAUGGCAUAAGCCAGCUUGACUGCGAGCGUGACGGCGCGAGCAGGUGCGAAAGCAGGUCAUAGUGAUCCGGUGGUUCUGAAUGGAAGGGCCAUCGCUCAACGGAUAAAAGGUACUCCGGGGAUAACAGGCUGAUACCGCCCAAGAGUUCAUAUCGACGGCGGUGUUUGGCACCUCGAUGUCGGCUCAUCACAUCCUGGGGCUGAAGUAGGUCCCAAGGGUAUGGCUGUUCGCCAUUUAAAGUGGUACGCGAGCUGGGUUUAGAACGUCGUGAGACAGUUCGGUCCCUAUCUGCCGUGGGCGCUGGAGAACUGAGGGGGGCUGCUCCUAGUACGAGAGGACCGGAGUGGACGCAUCACUGGUGUUCGGGUUGUCAUGCCAAUGGCACUGCCCGGUAGCUAAAUGCGGAAGAGAUAAGUGCUGAAAGCAUCUAAGCACGAAACUUGCCCCGAGAUGAGUUCUCCCUGAGACUU